UAGAACUUACUGUUUUUUAAAAGGGGAUGUUUUAUUUUAGUUUCUAGAGACAUUCUGGUAGAUACUGAGAAACAUACCACAGUAUCUAGCCUAUAAAUGAUAAAGGGUUAGAAUGGCACUCCUUUAAAUAUUCUUUUUUAAUAAUAGAUUUUAUUUUUAGAGCAAUUUUAGGUUCACAAAGAAUUCCUAUAUAGCCUCCAUUUCCUCAUUUGUACACCAUACCAAUUUGUUACAACUGAUGAACCUCUAUUGACACACUAUAACUACCCAAAAUUCAUGGUUUAUGUUAGGGUUCUAAGUAGUGUAUAUUCAUUCUAUGGGUUUUGGCAGAUGUAUCCUGACAUGUAUCCACCAAUAUGAGUUGUACCGAAUACUUUCACUGCCCUAAAAAUCCUGUGUUCUACCUAUUCAUCCCCUAUCCCCCAUCCUUGGCCAUCCCUAUGGAACUUUACCGUCUCCAUAGUUUUGCCUUUUCCCGUAAAUCAUGUAGUGGGAAUCAUACAGCAUGAUUAUCUUCUUUCAUUUGGUAAUACAUACUAAACUUUCCCCCGUGUCUUUUCAGUGGCUUGCUAGAUAAUUUCUUUUAGUGCUGAAUAGUAUUCCAUUGUUUGGAGGUAACACACGGUAUUUACCCACUCACCUACUGAAGGACAUCUUGCUGAUUUCCAAGCGUUGGCCAUAAGGAACGCAGCUGCAUCCCUGUGCGGUUUUGGUGUAGAUAUAAAUUUUCAAUUCACGGGGGGUAAACGCUAGAGUACCAUUGCUGGAUGAUAGGGUAAGAGUCUGUUUAAUUUGGUAAAGAUCUACCAAACUGUCUUCCUAAGCAUGUACCAUUUUGUAGUCCUACUAGCAAAGAAGGAGAGUUCUUGUUGCUCCACAUCCUCACCAAUUUUUGGUGUUUUCAUUGUGCCAUUCUUAUAGGUGCAUCUCAUUGUUGUUUUAAUCUGUGGUUAUCUAAUGACAUAUGAUGCUGGACAUCUUUUCAUAUGCUUACUUGCCAUCUGAUUAUCUUCUCUGGUGACACAUCUAUUCAGGUGUUUGCCUGUUCUUAAGUGGACUGUUCACUUUUCUUAUUGUUGAGUCUCAUGAAUUUGCUGUAGAUCUAGGAUAAUAGUCCUUUGUUAGAUGCCUUUUAAAAAUAUUUUUUUGCAGUCUGUGGC
rnacentral:lncRNA from 1 species